AUGUUUAGUGCCGUCUGCAGGAAUUCAGAAGGCAUCUUCAUGGGAUCGUCGGCCAUCAGAUGCCAUGGAGUUACAGACCCGACAACUCUCGAAGCUCUUGCUUGUAGAGAGGCACUUGCGCUGGAACAAGAUCUUGCAUUAUCGCAUAUUGUCAUAGCUUCUGAUUGCCAGGGGGUGGUUUGCGAUAUUGGUCAAGGUUGUGGAGGAACGUAUGCUAGCAUCGUAAAGGAAGUUACGGCUACUUCUGCGCAAUUUCAGCAUUGUACCUUCAUCUUUGAGGGUCAUGAGACUAAUCAAGAGGCACAUAGCCUCGCCAAACAUGCUUUUGGACUCGGUUUAGGACGCCAUGUGUGGCUUCUAAAUCCUCCAAAUUUAAGUUGUAUCCCCAUGAACAUUUUAGUUGAAUAA
rnacentral:rRNA from 1 species